CUUAAAAUAUUCUUUUAAAGUCUAUUUUGUCUGAUAUGAGUAUUGCUCCUCCAGCUUUCUUUUGAUCCCCGUUUGCAUGAAAUAUUUUCUUCCAUCCUCUCACUUUCAAUUUGUAUGUAUCCCUAGAAGUGAAGUGGGUCUCCUGAAGAUAGCAUAUAUAUGAGUCUAGUUUUUGUAUCCAUUCAGCCAGUCUUUGUCUUUUGGUUGCAGCGUUUAGUCCAUUAACAUUUAAGGUAAUUAUUGAUAUGUAUGUCCCCAUUGCCAUUUUAUUAAUUGCUUUGGAUUUGUUUUUGUUGCUCUUUUUUCUUUCCUCCUUCUCUUGUUCUCUCCUCUUCUGGUUUGAUGACUAUCUUUAGUGUUGUAUUUGUGUUGAUUUUUCUUUGUUUGGGUUUCAGUUGUAGAUUUUUGGUUUGCAGUUAUUCUGAAGUUUGAAUAUAAGAGUCUAUAUGUAUAUGAGAUUGUUUUAAGUUUUGUUGUUUUCUUAAUUGUAAGUUCAUCUCCAGUGUCCUGCAUUUGUACCCACCUCUUCUCAUGAUUUCUGAUUUUGGUGGUAUAAUUGUGCAUGAUUUGGUAUCUUACUGUAUAUAUACCUUUACUGGUGAGCCUUAUCAUUUGUGUAAUUUUUGUUUCCUGUUGCUGUCUUUUCUUUUCUGCCUAGAGAAGUUCCUUUAGUAUUUGUUGUAAGGCUGGUUUAGUGUUGCUGAAUUCUCUCAGCUUUUGCUUAGCUGUGAAGGUUUUGAUUUCUCCUUCAAAUCUGAAUGAGAGCCUUGCUGGUAAAGUCAUCUUGGUUGGAGGUUUUUUCCUUUCAUCACGUGAAGUAUAUCUGCCACUCCCUUCUGGCCUGCACAGGUUCUCCUGAAAAAUCUGCCAAUAACCUUAUUGGGGUUCCCUUGUACAUUAUUUGUUUCUUUUCCCUAGCUGCUUUCAAGAUUUUUCUCUUUGUCUUUAUAAUUUUUGUCAGUUUGAUGAAUAUGUGUCUCAGGGUGUUCCUCCUUGGGUUUAUUUUAUAUGGUACUCGGUGUGCUUCCUGGAUUUGAGUGAGUUGUUCCUUUCCCAUGUGAGGGAAGUUUUCGACUGUUAUCUCUUGGAAUAUUUUUUCUCUCCCCUUCUGUCUCUUUUCUUCUUCUGGCACCCCUGUAAUACAGAUAUUGGUGUGUUUAAUGUUGUCCAGAGUUCUCUGAGACUCUUCAUUUGUUUUCAAUCCUUUUUUUCUUUUCUGCUCCACAUCAAUAAUUUCCACUAAUCUGUCCUCCACCUCGCUUAUUCAUUUUUCUGACUCCUGUAUUCUGCUCUUAGCUGCUUCUAGUGAAUUUUUUAUUUCAGUUAUUGUAUUUUGCAUCUCUUCUUGUUUAAUUUUUAUAUAUUGUAUCUCUGCUCAGUGUUUCCUGUAAGUUAUCCAUCUUUGCCUCCAAUUUAUUUCCAUUGUCUUGCAUCAUCUUCAGCAUCAACAAUCUAAAGUCUUUUUCCUGGAGGCUGAGACUCUCCUC
rnacentral:lncRNA from 1 species